CUGGCUGUCCUGGUACUUUCUGGAUAGAUCAGGCUGUCCUCAAACCCACAGAGACCUGCCCACUUCCAUCUCCUACGUGCUGGCUGUAUGAGCCCUCUACCACUCAGUUACAUCUUGGCUCCUCGUAACCUUCCCCCGAGACCCUUUCCUCCCCAGAUUUUACAUGUGCAUUCCCUUCCGGUGCCCCUCACCUUUGCACCCAGUACCUUUUGCUUCUUUGAGGUUGUUUAGCCUGGAUGCCUCAGCACCCCACGUUAAUUUAUUCCCAGAUGCCCAGCUCCAGUGCGAUCUUGCAGAAUCUGCUCCCAGCUCAUCUCCAUCCAAACGUAGCCUCACUGGCUUCAGGUCCUGUGCUUGCACCACCGUCUCAGUAUUCGGUCCUGUGUGCUGCACAAGCUUUGCUUGUAGCUGGUAGAGCAAGCUCGCAGGAGUCAAGGGCUCAAACCCCAGGCCCUUCAUACCCCUCUGUGACCUUGCGUGUAUCAAUUCACCUGAAACGUCAUUUCCUUCAUUUCUAAGGGAGAGACGGUUGGGAAGGUCAAGAUGUCAUGAUGCUUCCGAAUCCAAUGGUGCCACUGUAGAGCCCUCGGCAGGGCGAAAGGGAGCCCCUGGCAGACUCUGAGGCCCUGCUAGUUGGAUUUCCUUCCCAGACCCCAUGUGCAACCUGACACAGAACAGCUGUGGAUGUCCUCAGGGUCAUUUCCCCCAAAUACCAAACGGGUCCCUGCAGAUGCCACAGACCUGGGGCUUGCCUGCGUUUUUUGGCAUUUCUUCAUCACCCCCUCGGUGUGGGGCAAGACUUGGCUGGGCCCACAGCCAGCAAUAAAGCGGAUGCUAAUCAUAUCAUUAUAUGCUGAAUAAUUAACUGUCAUUUAAAUAUUCAUAUGUUGUUGGGGGCAAGGCCUUUUAUCAGUAUCUGGGGACAUGUCAGCAGAGGAAAGAGAUGGAUGUCGCCAAGGCUGACUCCGCCUGUGAAGGGCGACCUGGGGUCCAGGGAGAGCCAUUGCAGUGGUCACCAGACAGUCAGCUAAUAUAUAACUGCAAUAUUCUCACGUGAUAAACGGCAACUUCAUAAACGCUUGAUGCAUAUGAGCAACCCUAAAACAAUAUUGGAAGCAUUAAUUUCAUUUGACUAAUGCUUAUCUAUAUUUUAUUCUGUUGCCAUCUCUAAAGAAGCCCCUCUUUCCUUCAGGGGAAGGGCGGUAGGGCUGGAGGGCCACUGAUGGACGACAGCAGCCAAGGGGGGCACUUUCCGUUAGCCCUGCCUUUAAGAUGACGAGAUUUGGGACUGGCUCUGAGCUUUGAAGACCUGUCUGAGAGUCUGUGUGAAAUCCUGCCUGAGUCCCUGUCGGGGAACUCAGCCUCUCUGGUGGCAUUACAGGAGAGUGGCAUGGGUAUCUCAGGCUUGGCCAGGUAAAGCAAAGUUGUAUAGGUGCCCUCUUGCUGUCAUGGAGGAAUCAAGAGGGGAGGCCUUGAAGACAGAAGUAUAGUCAGGUGGGGAGUAUUAUGAAGUGACUCUUCUAUAGUGGGGUGUGGGUGGUUGUGGUGGUUUGAAUAUGCUUGGCCCAGGGAAUGGGACUAUUAGGAGGUGUGACCUUGUUGGAGGAAGUCACUGUAGGAGUGGUCUUUUAGACCCUCCUUCCAACUAUGUGGGAGUCAGUCUUCUCUUGGUUGCCAUUGGAACAAGAGGUAGACCUCUCAGCAUCUCCAGCGCUAUGCCUGCCUGGAUGCUGCCAUGCUUCCUGCCAUGAUGAUAACGGAUUGAACCUCUGAACCUGUAAGCCAGCACCAAUUGAAUGUUGUCCUUGUAAGAGUUGCCUUAAUCAUGGUUUCUGUUCACAGCAGUAAAACCCUAACUAAGACAAAUAGGAAGGGACCCGGAGGAGAGAAAGGGAACAGAGGGAGGGUGUGAAGGAACACGAAAGCCAAGAGGGAGAGAACGGCACCUGGAGGUCUGGUGAUGGGUGAGCUGGCUGUUCUGGAGGAGCGAAGCAGCUUGGUGGGGGGGGGGGUUAGUAACAAUGGUUCUAGAAUUGGAUAGCCAUGGGCUGGGCUCUAGCUGUGCCAUUAACUAGCUGUAGGACUCCUGGAUCCUCUUUUUUUAACCCUCAGUUUCCACUUGUGUAAUAGGAGCCACUGUGCUUCAGGGGUGGGCUGAUGACUUAUCGGGUUGCUCUUCUGGGGUCUCACAGAGCUCCAUCAAAUGUCAUCGAUUGGGAGGCUCAAAUUGUGGGUGGUGGUAGAGGUGAUGUCGGUGGCAAUGUCAGUGGUGAUGGUGGUAAAGUUGGGAGGCGAUGGCAGUGGGAAUGGUAGUGGUGACAUUGUUGAUGGCAGUGGUGAUGGUUGUGGUGAUGUUGGAGGCGAUGGUGAUGGUGGUGGCGGUGGCGAUGGUGGUGGCCGUGGUGGUGGUGGUGGGUGUCUGCUUUCAAGAACUCUCUGCAGUUUGCUGACUUUUGUUUCCUUUCAGGAUCUGACGCUGGCUGGUUGUCUGCCAAGGAGACCCUCAAUUCUGAGUGGCCCAUGGUCACUGGCCCUGGGAAUUUCUUCAGCAUGGCUGCUGACUACAUCAAGCAAGAACCUGUUCCUAAGACAGAGCUUAUAUGAUACAUAGUGAUCAUGAAGUAUGGAGGGACACUGUCACCUUUCCAGGUUUACUAAUGAGUGACAGGUUCUGCUAACAUAUAUGGGAGGGGAUAGUACAGGGGUAUGAAUACCAGGGGCCUGGGUUGCUGAGUGACCCUCAAGCCUUUACAUCAUAUCUGACAAGGUUAGCAGUGAGUGCUCUCAGUACCAGGUACUCACGGUCCCUGCGUUUUGUGAACUUUCUCACCUGACCCACAGAAUAACCCAAGAAGAGCAGUAACUGCCCUCACUGUACCAAUGGAGGAAUGUGAGGUCAAGGAUCCUGGUAGGGGUUCAACAGGGGAAGGCAGGAGCACUGUGGAAUUGGUCAUAGACACCAUGUGAUCCAACACCCAGGGUUGCCAGUGAAGACAAACCUCAGAAGACUCUCAGGACAUGCCCUGGCCCUGGUUCCACUUUGCCAGGACACGUGACAACACUGGGUCAUGCAGGUGACUCCAGGACAAGCUCUCUGUGGUAAAGCCAACAGGUUAGCAACUCACUUCACCCACAGCCUUAAUUCCCCAUGGGCCAAGUGACAUAGCAGGUUCUCGGUGUCCAAGAUAAGGACUCUAGUAUCAUCUGCCUAGUGUCUCCUGUCAGUUAGUUCUUCUGUCUGUCGUGCUACCAGGGGCUUAUGGGUUGGAUGCUACGGCUCCUGUCCCAGGCCACCCUUUACUUCCCCAUUAGCCAUCCUUAGCUCUCUCCAGAGCCUGGAGCUCACACUAGAGAGCCAAGC
rnacentral:lncRNA from 1 species